GCUGAUGUGGCUUAGGGGUAUAGCACCACCUUGGUAAGGUGGAGGUCGCGGGUCCGAUUCCCGCCAUCAGCUCCA
rnacentral:tRNA from 1 species